rnacentral:SRP_RNA from 1 species
GCCGGGCAUGCUGGCUCAUGCCUGUAAUCCCAGUACUCUGGGAGGCUGAGGCAGGUGGAUCACUUGAGGUCAGGAGUUCGAGACCAGCCUGGCCAACAUAGUGAAACCCUGUCUCUA